UCAUCUCAUUUUCAUCAUUCCAAGCAUCCCCAACAAAUUCCAGGCUCUUCAGGGAAUACAUCGGAGCCGAGGACACGGGUGUCACGUUUUCAGAUGUACCUGUUAAUCAGAAUAUCGAAGUUCACUACAUCCUGUCUUUUGCCAUUGACUACACUUCUUCUUCCAAACCUUCCCCAACCAAUGGAUACUUCAAUGUGUAUUGGGACACAGAAAACCUUACCCCUUCAGCUGUUUCCUCCUUCAAAGCUCAUCAUGGAAAUGUCAAGGUGGCUAUGAGUCUCGGAGGCGACACCAUAAACAAACAGCACGUUUACUUCGAU
rnacentral:lncRNA from 1 species